GAUGAACGCUAGCGGCAGGCCUAACACAUGCAAGUCGAGGGGCAGCACAGAAACAGCAAUGUUUUGGUGGCGACCGGCGGACGGGUGCGUAACGCGUAUGCAACCUACCUUUAACAGGGGGAUAAGGGAGAGAAAUUUCCACUAAUACCCCAUAACAUCGAGCAAGGCAUCUUGAUUGGUUGAAAACUCCGGUGGUUAAAGAUGGGCAUGCGUUGUAUUAGGUAGUUGGUGAGGUAAUGGCUCACCAAGCCUACGAUACAUAGGGGGACUGAGAGGUUGGCCCCCCGAACUGGUACUGAGACACGGACCAGACUCCUACGGGAGGCAGCGGUGAGGAAUAUUGGUCAAUGGGGGCAACCCUGAACCAGCCAUGCCGCGUGCAGGAAGACGGCUCUAUGAGUUGUAAACUGCUUUUAAGCAGGGAUAAAGCACAGUAUGUAUACUGUGUUGAAGGUACUGUAAGAAUAAGGAUCGGCUAACUCCGUGCCAGCCGCCGCCGUAA
rnacentral:rRNA from 1 species